rnacentral:rRNA from 1 species
UGAGUAACACGUGGGAAACCUGCCCAGAAGCGGGGGAUAACACCUGGAAACAGAUGCUAAUACCGCAUAACAACUUGGACCGCAUGGUCCGAGUUUGAAAGAUGGCUUCGGCUAUCACUUUUGGAUGGUCCCGCGGCGUAUUAGCUAGAUGGUGGGGUAACGGCUCACCAUGGCAAUGAUACGUAGCCGACCUGAGAGGGUAAUCGGCCACAUUGGGACUGAGACACGGCCCAA